AGACAAAACAGUGUGACUGGGAUCACUAGCUGAACAGAAGCCAAAUCAGAUCUGCAGAUUUACUCCAUGGUGUACGUUCGCUAUGUGUGUUCCCGCGCUUUAGUUACAAGAGAAGAGUUGAAAUGAAAGAAGGAAUGAAGAGAGAAGGAGACAACUGAAGAGACAACAGAUUUAUACAGCUGAGACUACAGAUGAAACUACUUAUUCAAAGCUCCUGAACAAAAUCAAUAGUUAAGGUAACCAGAUCAGAUGAUUUGACAUAUCAUGUAAUUAUACAGAUUAUUCAAGUACAGGCAGAAUAAAAGAGUUGGCAAAGACAAGACUAUUCAAGAAAAACAAUUGACCAUGAUGUCAUGUUACAUGAAGAAAUAAACUCCUGCAUUAAUUUAACAUUAAUAUAAUUGGAAAGUUGCAUGGAUCAUCCAAUGCUUUGUUUACUUUGCAGGUUUUUCAUUUUGAAAAUAUGCAAACAUUAUUAAUAAUGCAGCAGAAAUUGAGUAAAUUACAAA